rnacentral:rRNA from 1 species
UACGUAGGGUGCGAGCGUUGUCCGGAAUUAUUGGGCGUAAAGAGCUCGUAGGCGGCUUGUCGCGUCGGCUGUGAAAACUCGGGGCUCAACCCCGAGCCUGCAGUCGAUACGGGCAGGCUGGAGUCCGGCAGGGGAGACUGGAAUUCCUGGUGUAGCGGUGAAAUGCGCAGAUAUCAGGAGGAACACCGGUGGCGAAGGCGGGUCUCUGGGCCGGAACUGACGCUGAGACGCGAAAGCGUGGGGAGCGAACAGG